rnacentral:rRNA from 1 species
GAUGAACGCUGGCGGCGUGCCUAAUACAUGCAAGUCGAGCGAACGGACGAGAAGCUUGCUUCUCUGAUGUUAGCGGCGGACGGGUGAGUAACACGUGGAUAACCUACCUAUAAGACUGGGAUAACUUCGGGAAACCGGAGCUAAUACCGGAUAAUAUUUUGAACCGCAUGGUUCAAAAGUGAAAGACGGUCUUGCUGUCACUUAUAGAUGGAUCCGCGCUGCAUUAGCUAGUUGGUAAGGUAACGGCUUACCAAGGCAACGAUGCAUAGCCGACCUGAGAGGGUGAUCGGCCACACUGGAACUGAGACACGGUCCAGACGCCUACGGGAGGCAGCAGUAGGGAAUCUUCCGCAAUGGGCGAAAGCCUGACGGAGCAACGCCGCGUGAGUGAUGAAGGUCUUCGGAUCGUAAAACUCUGUUAUUAGGGAAGAACAUAUGUGUAAAUAACUGUGCACAUCUUGACGGUACCUAAUCAGAAAGCCACGGCUAACUACGUG